GGCAACAGCUUUACUCUCUCCACCGUAUUCGGAUCGAGAGCUACUAUUGUCGAUUGACCACGGCAGCGGCAUUCAUCGAUCGGCGAUUUGCUGCGGCACGGCCUUUGUCCACGCGGCGGCGGCGACCGCCACACUCGCCAGCCGAAGGAGCAGCGAGGCAACUGCACCACGGCGCACCGCUAGCUAUGACUCCUGGCCACCGGUGUUGAUACGAUGAAGAACGACGGUUGAUCGGGCGGGAUGCAGGAUCAGCCAUCUGGGUUUCUCCGACGAGCCUGGUGAAUACUAAAAUCCAUACACGGCAACAGACUUGCAUAAGAUGCGUGACAUAUACCAAGGAUCGAUGGUGGCCAACGCCCGACAGUAUAUGAAUUGCCGAUUUGCCAGUAUUAAUUAAAAUUCUGUCCAAAGCAGCUUGUGCAGUUCGAGAAUUGGGUAUAUUGUAGAUUCAUUUAUUUCUUUUUCAGAAUGGCUAAAUGUAUCAUGUGAAUCCAUAUACUGCCUGGAUUGCAAAUUCUAUUGUGAACAUAAUAUGAUUCAAUUUAUUCUAAAUCGGGUAUUGUAAAACAACUA